UACGAAGGUGGCAAGCGUUGUUCGGAUUUACUGGGCGUACAGGGAGCGUAGGCGGUUGGGUAAGCCCUUCGUGAAAUCUCCGGGCCUAACCCGGAAAGUGCGGAGGGGACUGCUCGGCUAGAGGAUGGGAGAGGAGCGCGGAAUUCCCGGUGUAGCGGUGAAAUGCGUAGAGAUCGGGAGGAAAGCCGGUGGCGAAGGCGGCGCUCUGGAACAUUUCUGACGCUGAGGCUCGAAAGCGUGGGGAGCAAACAGG
rnacentral:rRNA from 1 species